rnacentral:rRNA from 1 species
UGGGGGAUAUUGCACAAUGGGCGAAAGCCUGAUGCAGCGACGCCGCGUGGGGGAUGAAGGCCUUCGGGUUGUAAACUUCUUUUGCUCUGAACAAGGCAUGCCUUUGGGGUGUGUUGAGUGUAGGGGUUGAUUAGCGCCGGCUAACUACGUGCCAGCAGCCGCGGUAAUACGUAGGGCGCGAGCGUUGUCCGGAAUUAUUGGGCGUAAAGGGCUUGUAGGUGGCUGGUUGCGUCUGUCGUUAAAGCUCAUGGCUUAACUGUGGGUUUGCGGUGGGUACGGGCUGGCUUGAGUGCAGUAGGGGAGGCUGGAAUUCCUGGUGUAGCGGUGGAAUGCGCAGAUAUCAGGAGGAAUACCGGUGGCGAAGGCGGGUCUCUGGGCUUUUACUGACGCUGAGGAGCGAAAGCGUGGGGAGCGAACAGG